GAUGGACGCUGGCGGCGUGCCUAACACACGCAAGUCGAACGAAGCACCUUACCUGAUUCUUCGGAUGAAAGUUUGGUGACUGAGUGGCGGACGGGUGAGUAACGCGUGGGUAACCUGCCCUGUACAGGGGGAUAACAGCUGGAAACGGCUGCUAAUACCGCAUAAGCGCACGAGGAGACAUCUCCUUGUGUGAAAAACUCCGGUGGUACAGGAUGGGCCCGCGUCUGAUUAGCUGGUUGGCAGGGUAACGGCCUACCAAGGCAACGAUCAGUAGCCGGUCUGAGAGGAUGAACGGCCACAUUGGAACUGAGACACGGUCCAAACUCCUACGGGAGGCAGCAGUGGGGAAUAUUGCACAAUGGGGGAAACCCUGAUGCAGCAACGCCGCGUGAGUGAAGAAGUAUUUCGGUAUGUAAAGCUCUAUCAGCAGGGAAGAUAAUGACGGUACCUGACUAAGAAGCUCCGGCUAAAUACGUG
rnacentral:rRNA from 1 species